rnacentral:rRNA from 1 species
AGAGUUUGAUCAUGGCUCAGAACGAACGCUGGCGGCAUGCCUAACACAUGCAAGUCGAACGAGACCUUCGGGUCUAGUGGCGCACGGGUGCGUAACGCGUGGGAAUCUGCCCUUGGGUUCGGAAUAACUCGCCGAAAGGCGUGCUAAUACCGGAUGAUGUCGUAAGACCAAAGAUUUAUCGCCCAGGGAUGAGCCCGCGUAAGAUUAGGUAGUUGGUGAGGUAAAGGCUCACCAAGCCGACGAUCUUUAGCUGGUCUGAGAGGAUGAUCAGCCACACUGGGACUGAGACACGGCCCAGACUCCUACGGGAGGCAGCAGUGGGGAAUAUUGGACAAUGGGCGAAAGCCUGAUCCAGCAAUGCCGCGUGAGUGAUGAAGGCCUUAGGGUUGUAAAGCUCUUUUACCCGGGAUGAUAAUGACAGUACCGGGAGAAUAAGCUCCGGCUAACUCCGUGCCAGCAGCCGCGGUAAUACGGAGGGAGCUAGCGUUGUUCGGAAUUACUGGGCGUAAAGCGCACGUAGGCGGCUUUGUAAGUCAGAGGUGAAAGCCUGGAGCUCAACUCCAGAACUGCCUUUGAGACUGCAUCGCUUGAAUCCAGGAGAGGUGAGUGGAAUUCCGAGUGUAGAGGUGAAAUUCGUAGAUAUUCGGAAGAACACCAGUGGCGAAGGCGGCUCACUGGACUGGUAUUGACGCUGAGGUGC